ensembl:misc_RNA Metazoa_SRP Metazoan signal recognition particle RNA
GCCGGGUGCAGUGGCGCGCGCCUGUAAUCCAAGCUGCUGGGAGGCUGAGGCUGGCGGAUCGCUUGAGUUCAGGGGUUCUGGGCUGCAGUGGACUAUGUCGAUCGGGUGUCCGCGCUAAGUUCGGUAUCGAUAUGGUGCUCCUGAGGGAGCUCGGGACCACCAGGUCGUCUAAGGAGGGGUGAACCGGCCCAGGUCGGAGACGGAGCAGGUCAAAGCCCCCGUGCCGAUCAGUAGUGGGGUCGCGCCUGUGAAUAGACUCUGCAGUGCAGCCUGAGCGAUACAGCGAGACUCAGUCUUUU